CCCAAGUGAGCAACUGUUCAUUCUUUCUGUGAACUUGGUUGGUGGUGAAGAGGCAAUGUGGCAAGAGCCACAGAGGCAUGGCAAGACCUCCCUGUGAUCCCUUCUCCUGAGCGAUAAUGGGCUGGCAUGUUUUCAUAAGAGCGAGAGCCAUCAAAGUUACUCUGAAAUGACCUUCCCAACAUGCAAAAUCACAACAUUGAACUCCGAACACAGAGAACCACAGAACUCGGGGUCAGUUCCCCAAACACGGAGAGAAAGUGGAUGCUUCGUGCCGAUGAAAGCGACCUGAACCAGACUUGCAGGCAUUCCCCAACUCCCAUUACCUUCAAUAUUUGUGCCCAAGGAAGCAUCCUGUCCCUCCAUCUCUUCUCUAGGAAGGCCUUGGUGUUGGUCGCUGGGAUAACUGGAUUUGGAUUCCCUGGCAGGGGGCCCAGAGUCUUCCUCACACUAAGAUCCUGUCUUAUUUCACAGUUGCUGAAAACCUGUUCAGAGAAUGAUGCCUUUUAAUGCUUUGGAUCCAGCCUGUGACUGACUGAGCACAACUCUGAUGAAGAGGUGGACGCAGCUGGGGUCAGAGCUCCGGAAGAGCUGGCAGCAAACAUUGGGCGCUUGCUGUGUGUCAGGCCCUGGUCAAGCCCCCAAGAGACUCCAGAGAACAAAAC